GACGUAGGGUGCGAGCGUUGUCCGGAAUUAUUGGGCGUAAAGAGCUCGUAGGCGGUGUGUCACGUCGGCCGUGAAAACCUGCAGCUUAACUGUGGGCGUGCGGUCGAUACGGGCAUCACUGGAGUUCGGCAGGGGAGACUGGAAUUCCUGGUGUAGCGGUGAAAUGCGCAGAUAUCAGGAGGAACACCGGUGGCGAAGGCGGGUCUCUGGGCCGAUACUGACGCUGAGGAGCGAAAGCGUGGGGAGCGAACAGG
rnacentral:rRNA from 1 species